AGAAGAAUCCAGAGCAGAGCGGCAGCCUCAAGACAGGAGUGCUGAGCAGGGCCUAAGAGUUGUUACCUCACUGGAUUGAAGAUAGGGUGGAUCAGACAUCCCUGCAAAGUGUGGGCAGAUGUGCGUGCCAAGGCACACUCUGGAGGUCAGUGGACAACUUGCAGGGAUCAAAUCUUUCCUUCCAUUUGGUGGGUCCUGGGGACCAAACUCAGGUCACCGCCAGCCUUCCUAGUUAGUACCUUUACCCACUGACCCAUCUCAGCAGGUCAGUUUAUUCUUUCUUUUCUUUUUCUUUUUUUUUUUUUUAACCUUUCAUGUAUGGGAGAGAAGGGAGGGACCAUACAGCGUGUCUUUUUCUUUCUAUGCUACCAUUUGAUGUCUUCCUGUUCUAUCCAUUUGGCUGUAAGUAACAGAAUUACCAUCUUUAUGCCUGAAUAAAACUCCAUUUGUAUAUUGACCCUAUUUUCUUUAUACGUUCAGCUGCAGCUGGCUCGUGAACUGAUUCCAUAUCUUAGUAAACAUGAAAGAAGGGAAAUGGCUACUCUGUGUCUCAGAUGCUGUCUGAUGACAUUCUUAGCUUUGGGGCAGUUGGAAGUGAGCGGCCUGUUAAUACAUCCCAAAAGAUUCAUGUGGAUGCUAGAUCAGCAUUCAUAGGAUUCAUAGGAUGCUAGAUCAGAUACUGAGGUGGCUAAUGAAUAGCUAUUAAGGGGCCUAAAGAUAGCCCAAGAUAAUUUGGCUUUGAAUCUGUAACAAUACAACUCUCCACAGUCAGGGAAGUUUUAAAUCAGUUGAUCAGCAUUACAGAAUCUUCAAAACAGAUGUGCCCCCCCCACCCCCGCCAUCCCUCCAUCCCCAAACUUCUGUUGUACUCUGAGAGGUCAGGGAGGUAAGAGGUUGCUGAUGGCUCAUUGUUGGGGUCACAGAGGUCCUUGUACUCAAAAAGAAGCACCAAGAGAACCAGGAAUGUUAAUAUCUGAGGUGUGACUCCUCAAUGGAGGAGAUACAAAUCAAAUUCUUGCAUUCCAUCCAGAAAGCUGAGAGUGCAUUUUAUGAAUGACCUGGUGACCUUUUGGCUAUCUGUGGAGGCAGCCCUCACCCAAAUUCUCCAGAUGAUUAUCCCAGACUCUUCCCUUCCUAGACCAUUACCCAUCCUUAGCGGAGAUGUCACACGUACUUUAUGGCCUGCUGACCUCUAUGCUACUGGUCAGAGACCACACUAGAUGCUAGACCUUUUAGCUGCAGAACUCAUUGUCAUGGUUACAUGUCCUGCGUAAGAGUCUCUAUGUACUCACACCUUAAGCUUUAUUGUGUACUUGGAACUGGACUAACUGUUGCCUGGAAACCUUUUCCCAAAUUGUACUGUGCUUUAAAUAUGCUGACAAUGAACAGACUGGCAUUAGACUCCCUGAGUCUGAUCCAGGUUGACAAAGUCAUUCUGCACUGGGUAUUCAUUCUCAUCUCUUCUGCGUAGUUUGUUUCCCUGCCUGACACCUGCAGGGACCCCUUCAGUUGUGGGGAGGGAUUCCAGACAAUGGACCCCAUCAUAGAGAUCCAAACAGGUAACUUAACCAGAUGGGUAAGGGUGAAAAGGACCUGGGUUGUGGGGCCUUGCUUCAUAGGCUAGGGUACAGCCCACUAGCAAAAGGUGUGAUGACCAUUACUUGGAGUGUUUCCUUGUGACUAUGUGAGUUUGUCACUGGCCGUAGGGACAGAGGCACAGUUCUAUUCUAUCCCUGCUACAGUCCGAAGGGUUCUCUUUCACCUUAGUGACCUGUGGUGGUAUUGUGUUCCCCAAAAUAUUGUGUACCUUAAUAAACUUAUCUGGGGUCAGAGAACAGAAAAGCCACAAGAUACUUAGGCUAGCAAAUGUUAGCACACGCCUUUAAUCCUAGCAUUCCAGAGACAGAAAUCCAUCUGGAUCUCUGUGAGUUCAAGGCGGCAUUGGAAACAGCCAGGCAUGGUGACUCACGCCUUUAAUCCCAGAAAGCAGCCUUUAAUCCCAGGGAGUGGUGGUAGAAAGCAGAAAGGUUUAUAAGGUGUGAGGACCAGAAACUAAAGGCAUUUGCCUGGUUAAGCAUUUGGCUGGUUAAGCAUUCAGGAUUUCGAGCAGCAGUUCAGCUGAGAGCCAUUGGGAUGAGGACACAGAAGCUUCCAGUCUGAGGAAACAAGACCAGCUGAGAAGUUGGCCAGGUGAGGUUAGCUGUAGCUUGUUCUGUCUCUCUGAUCUACCAGCAUUGACCCCAAUAACUGGCCUCGGGUUUGAUUAUAUUAAUAAGACUCUUUAAGAUUCAUGCUACAGUGACCUUUACUCAUGUCAAAUGGGUUAGUGGCUUCAAUGAAGAGACGUUUUAAAUGUA